rnacentral:misc_RNA from 1 species
GUCCCCUCAUGUACCUCCUACUGCUACCGAAACAAUGAUUAUCCAAGACAACAAUCCUAGAACCUCACUCGUCAAACUCAGAGUCAUCCUCAAUUUCUUCCUUCCCAUUCACCGUUUUCCUUUUUCUUAAUAUAUUCUGCCAUGGCUUUAUCAAACUCAGCUCUUUUCUCUGUGGCGAUAUCAUAAUAUUUAACCUUUUCCUCAUAAUUCAUUGUUUUCCACUUCUCACCACAUGCC